CAGGAAUCUGUUUCUGUGUGUGGCACACCCAAAAUGCAUGGCCACUUUUGUGUUAAUCAUUUAAUUUAAUUUAUUUAAUUUGUUUAUCAGUUAUUUUCUGUGGCUAUUAAUAUCCAAAAUGACUUUGACAACAUGACCAACCUAACCAGUGCAUUAUUUUGUCACAUAAACUGUAUAGAAGGUACAAAGAAAUGGAGCAACACCCCAGGUGGAACUAUUAUUCCAAGACAGGUGCAACCCGGUUUCUUUAGGGGGAUGGACUUCCGCCCACGAGUCAGAUGCAAUCUGAGAGGCAAACCGAGUGCACUGUCUUCAUUGCUCCUGAACUUUACCUGUGUUUGCAGGUUGGUACCUGGUAAAGAAAUACUACUACUGUUUGUACAUAACAAUGUUUUAUCUCCAUGUUAACUUGUGAAGAAGUAGAACAGUACCUGUAACACUUAUGGGCACUGCCGCGCGGUCGACUCGCAUCAGUGUGAGACAGCGGUGUCAGGCUGCGCAGGCCGCUAGCAGAAACGGCGCGGUAAUGUUUUGUAUUGUGGGUCGUUAGCGCCCAGAGCAUUGUCUUGUAGGAAGGUCAUUCAUAUCGAUUUCUUUUCUUUUCAUUAUGAAGGUUGGUACUCCCGCACACUUUACUAUUUUAUAUAAAGCUUAUGAUACAAAGAUGUUUUAUUGUUAAGUGUCAUUGAGGUUUGAAAAGUAUAUAGCUGUUUAAUAUGUGAGUGUUAAUGACAUGUGAAGUAGAAAGAAGUUGUCCAUGUUAUGCAAAAGUGAAUUUCAUCCUCAGUGUGCUGUAAAUGUGUGUCUAAUUCUGCUCAAUUUCAGUAUUCAGAAUCUGUAGUCGUAUAUUGCUGUAAAUUCAUUGUAGAUUACAGUGGCUUCCAACUACUUAAGUAAGAGCAGGUGUGUACUUUUGUUUUGCUUAGACUGAGCGAUCGCAUGAAGUACAUGUAAAAUAGUGGAACGUGUAGAGUGUGAAUUCAUUUAUUUUUCUACUUGUGACUUUGGGGAAAUGGACAGAUAUGGACACUGGGACUGAAAAAGUCAUGCACACGUGGAUAUUGUUAAUGCUGUUCAUGUUUGUUGAAACUUGAAUAAGAGAUGCAAUCUGAGAGGCAAACCGAGUGCACUGUCUUCAUUGCUCCUGAACUUUACCUGUGUUUGCAGGGAUUUCUUCUUUGUUAUUGUGGCACCAUUCCUGGGGCCCGUAACAUAUGUGGUUUAAAAGAUGCUCACAGACAAACAUGAACUUGUUCAGAAACAUUGUGCAAAAUUGUGACAUUUCUGUAUCUAACUAAAACUGGUUGUGUAACACUAACAGGUUUUGGCAGCUCAUAGCUACACAGCAGUCCUAUAAAUGUUCUUUUCCCGGCUUAUAUUUUUCAGGUUUUCAGAUUUUUUGUGUGUCAGACACCUCUGGCAUUUGUAUGAUUUUUAAAAUGGGCAGCCACACAAGAUCGAAACGACCCUUUAAAUUUAUUUAAAUCAUCGUGUUGAGCAAUGACCUCACUGACGCAGAGAAAAGUAUUUCCUGGAUUGGAGGGGAAAGAGUACAGAGGGCCUUCUCGGGCUCACAACACAGCGUUACUGCAGUAACAGCAUGGGUAAUAGAGUCACAGGACUAUGGAUUAAAUGGGUUCAGGAUGGACAGUGGGAGUAGCUGGCAGCUAACAUCCACCCACACGCCAGGAGUUGGGAGGGUGUCAUCUAUGAUUCUUUUCUGAAUAAUGGGAAUUGAGGCCAUAAAGUGUAUCUAAGAGAACAAAAUAAACUCAUUUCUAACCAGGGGACCUCAGCCUCAGCCACGUCAUCCUCAAAUCCACCCUCUGAUCACAUCAUUACAUAUCUCCGGACACCCUCAUCACCACCAAACUGAACAAACAUUCCUCGGUUUUCAUUUCAACGCCAAAGCCAAGUACACAAGAGAGCAGAUUCAACAAAAUUUUUAAAAAGGCCAAACAAGUCCCUCGGCUUCACCCGUUUAAACAUUUCCCCCCAUGCUUUCAGUUUAUUUGAACAGGACACACUAAAGCAGCUACAAGACCUGCAGUUCAAACAUGGAAUUUGGUGUCUAAUGAAGUCAACAGAGAGAUAUCAUCUCACGACACAGUUUUUAUUUCAUCUCCUCUCCAUGCUGUCCUCCUUCCAAGACGAAAAGUCUUCCAGAUUGCUUCCAUCGGAGCUUGGAGGAGUAGUUUGUAUGAUUCUGAGGAUUUGGUUAGAGCUGCAAAGAAAAGAGUGGAGUUUCAAUGUUAAAUUCAGGGUCAUGGAGGUAGUAUAUCACGUAAUAUUAUUCAAACGUGAUCAGACUGUGGGCUCAGUUCCAGUGGUUGGAUGUACAAAUUCAGGCACUUGGACCCUCUUUUUAUGAUUUGUCAUGUUCUUUCUAUGCAAUGGAAAAUAUUGCAGUGCUUAUUGCUCAUUAAAAAAUGGAUGGUUUCCUCACGUCUCCAACUAAUAUUUAUCAUAUACACAACACAUUUAUUAGACUACCCCCCAAUGUAAUGUUCAUACAUUAAAAAUUAACAGCAUUUAUAUGUUUCUCUAAUAGGUAAUUCACCAGUAUGUGCAAGCUAUUUAAUCAAAGUGAUAUUUUUAAGGCUAAAGUGUCUGGAUUUUUACUUGUUACAGAUUAGCUUCACAUAAAGGCUCUGAAUUUUUCCAUCACCAGUAAAAUCA
ensembl:lncRNA